rnacentral:tRNA from 8 species
GCCUUGAUGGUGAAAUGGUAGACACGCGAGAUUCAAAAUCUCGUGCUAUGAAGCAUGGAGGUUCGAGUCCUCUUCAAGGCA